rnacentral:tmRNA from 1 species
GGGGGCGAGCUGGGUUCGACGGGAAUAAUUGAGGUCUAGGUUGCAUAUCGAGGUUCCAUCUGCUCGUAAAACGGGUGGGCUAAACACAAACGCAGACGAUUAUGCGUACGCUCUAGCCGCAUAGGGCUAGCGUCUCCCUGCUCCAAGCCUGCGGGAACAGACGAGGCGCCGACUAGCAGGCUGGCUGAUCCGAUUUGCCUGAAAUCGGUUAGGCGAGAUCUUUUCAGGCUUGCCCUGAGGUUGACCUGCCGGGUUGGUAGCCGAUGGGC